CUCUGUAUCAGUCUGUCUCUCUCUCUCUCUCUCUCUCUCUCCAGAGGUAUCAGUCUCUCUCCAGAGGUAUCAGUCUCUCUCUCUCUCUCUCUCUCCAGAGGUAUCAGUCUCUCUCUCUCCUCUCUCUCCAGAGGUAUCAGUCUCUCUCUCUCUCUCCAGAGGUAUCAGUCUCUCUCUCUCUCUCCAGAGUUAUCAGUCUCUCUCUCUCUCUCCAGAGGUAUCAGUCUCUCUCUCUCUCCAGAGGUAUCAGUCUCUCUCCAGAGUUAUCAGUCUCUCUCUCUCUCUCUCUCUCCAGAGUUAUCAGUCUCUCUCUCUUAUCAGUCUCUCUCUCUCUCCAGAGUUAU